CUCCCACACACCUUUGUUCCUGUAGUAAAAAAGCCAGGAGGGAGAGCCCCCUUCGCAGCCUUCCCUUUCCCUGGCCCUGGGGUUCUGCCUUCUCUGGAGAUGUUACUGAGUUGUGAGAUGAGCGCUGUGUUUUUGUGGCAUUUUGUAGACCUUUCCUUCCAGCUCUGCACCUUUAUUCUUUUCCUGGGUCCCACAAGUGCUGUCUUAAUGCUCACCUC
rnacentral:lncRNA from 1 species